CAGGAGAGACCCUGGCCUGGAGGGAGGAGCAGGGAUUCUGAAGGCCUUUGGAACAAGCCUGUGAGAGUGGAGGAUAAACCAGAAAGGGAGACAUAAAGGAGACUUAAUUAGAUCAUGGAACCCUUUCUUAAGCAGUUCAGCAUCUUAAUUUCUGGCAUCCAUGGCUGUGGCUCCGGAGCAGCAGCGAGCAUCCCGAGCCGUGCAGGCAGCGAGCUGCAGGAUCCAGCCCCUCUUUGACAAUGAUUGCGGCUGACACUGACAAGCACUCACACCCCAUUCCCGGGCUCUUUUUG